CUCAGCCUGAGCAGCAGUGCAGUGUACUUCUGUGCUGCUAGGUGACACAGUGCUACAUAUCACUGCUCCUCAGUACAAAAACCUCCUCACAGCUGUGUUCCUUCCUCAGUAUAUCAUUACUCAGAUCUGUAUGCUGAGCCAGUGGUGUGUAAAAGCUAGUUACCAUGAGUUAUAUACACAAUGACACCACCCACCUAAAGACCUGGGAGGGUUUACUCAAAGAGGAGGCUGGAAAUACUCAGUUAGUACAACUGCUUCAUUCAUUGCGACACCAAAUUGAUGUUCCUAUUUUGAAAUUUGUAUUCAAUAUCACCAAACAUUCAGAAAAACACGAUAGUCAAAAUGAUCAUCAUAUUCCUUUGUAUUACUCUUAGAUCUAUUCUGGUUUCAGGUUCCUCUCUCAGUGACAACGUCCACCAGACUCCAGCUGACACGUUCAAGAAACCCAGUGAACCUGCAACAAUUAACUGUUCACACAGUAUUCCCAACUAUGAUCGAGUCCUCUGGUACAAGCAGUCAAAGAACAAAAAACUGCAGUUCCUGGGAUACAUGUAUAAAAAUAAUGGGAACCCAGAGGCUGGACUGGGUGUAAAAAUGGAUGGGAGUGCAGAUAAAGACCAGACCUGCACAUUAACAAUAGAAGAACUCAGCCUGAGCAGCAGUGCAGUGUACUUCUGUGCUGCUAGUUUACACAGUGCUACAUAUCACUGCUCCUCAGUACAAAAACCUCCU